CAGCCGUAAACUAUGCGCGUUAGGUGUAUCGGUGACCACGAGUCACCGAGGUGCCGAAGGGAAACCGUGAAACGUGCCGCCUGGGAAGUACGGUCGCAAGGCUGGAACUUAAAGGAAUUGGCGGGGGAGCACCACAACGGGUGGAGCCUGCGGUUUAAUUGGACUCAACGCCGGGAAGCUCACCGGAUAAGACAGCGGAAUGAUUGCCGGGCUGAAGACUCUGCAUGACUAGCUGAGAGGAGGUGCAUGGCGUAGACGUCU
rnacentral:rRNA from 1 species